GGUCGGUUGGCGCAAUGGUAGCGCGUGCGCCUCCUAUAACUAUAUCUGCGAGCGCAAGGUUGUGGGUUCGAGUCCCAUGCUGAUCG
rfam:Alternaria alternata strain SRC1lrK2f unplaced genomic scaffold CC77scaffold_17, whole genome shotgun sequence.